GGAGAAAAGCAGGGGAUCGCAAGACCUUGCGCUUUUGGAGCGGCCGAUGCCUGAUUAGCUUGUUGGUGAGGUAAAAGCUCACCAAGGCUCCGAUCAGUAGCUGGUCUGAGAGGACGACCAGCCACACUGGGACUGAGACACGGCCCAGACUCCUACGGGAGGCAGCAGUGGGGAAUUUUGGACAAUGGGGGCAACCCUGAUCCAGCCAUGCCGCGUGAGUGAAGAAGGCCUUCGGGUUGUAAGGCUCUUUCAGCCGGAACGAAACGGUCACGGUCAAUACCCGUGACUACUGACGGUACCGGAAGAAGAAGCACCGGCUAACUACGUGCCAGCAGCCGCGGUAAUACGUAGGGUGCGAGCGUUAAUCGGAAUUACUGGGCGUAAAGCGUGCGCAGGCGGUUUUGUAAGUCAGAUGUGAAAUCCCCGGGCUUAACCUGGGAACUGCGUUUGAAACUACAAAGCUAG
rnacentral:rRNA from 1 species